rnacentral:rRNA from 1 species
UACGAAGGGGGCAAGCGUUGUUCGGAAUUAUUGGGCGUAAAGGGAGCGUAGGCGGUUCGGCAAGUCUUUAGUGAAAUCUCUGGGCUCAACUCAGAGUCUGCUGGAGAAACUGCCGGGCUGGAGUAUGGGAGAGGUGAGUGGAAUUCCGAGUGUAGAGGUGAAAUUCGUAGAUAUUCGGAGGAACACCAGUGGCGAAGGCGGCUCACUGGCUCGACAUUGACGCUGAGGUGCGAAAGCGUGGGGAGCAAACAGG